GUUUUUCUUAUGUUCUGUAUGCUGCUCAUGUUUGUGCAUCUGGAUCAGUUCAUUGCUAUACUCACCUUCUGCACCUGCGUCCUGACUCCCGGCAUAUACAUUACAGAACAUCCUCAGGGAUGUCCUCGGGACAAACCGGAAACUAGACAAAACAACCCGGGAACCAUGAAGCAACAACCUAAAAACGACAAACCAGGAACUAUAUAAAGGUCCCCCAGAGAACAUUCCCUUGGGAUCAUCAUGCGACGGCCAGAGGACUAGUAAAAUUAGGGUCCUGAGAACUUCUUAAAAAGUUCCUGACAUGGUCCUCAGUGAGGUCCUGGGAACUUACAGGGAACUAUAAAAAGGUCCCCCAGAGAACAUUCCCUUGGGACCAUCACACAACAUUCUUAGAACUAUAUCAGAACGUUAGUGGGAUAACAUUGUGCCGAAUCCCUUAACUCAAGGGAUCUAGUGAGAAUAUCGCUGAAUGUCCUCAGAACAUCCCCUAUUUGCUGGGUAGUGGUUAAGGAUAUUAUCUGGGCGAAGAGACAGAAUCCCAGAACAGUAUAUGCCACUUCCCAGCACCAUUUUGUCUGUGAUCCAUUACUAGUAACUUGCCAGAGGUCCUCACUCCUCAGUGGUGAUGAAGUGUCUAUUUGUUCAUCAUAGUUCAUUCAAGAAUGUUGCUGUCCUGUGCUGCUGAAUUAGCACCAUUAGGGCAUAAUUUGUCACCCACUGUGUGCUCUGAGAUAAAAUACUCCUCUCUGUGCCCCUCUGUGGCUACAUGUGGAGAAGUGCAGGCUUCAGGUGAGAUGUCAAUGGAGCAGAACUGAGAAUGGGACCGGUUGGAAACUCUGUUCAAUCUGUCAUGUUAGCCAGGGGAGUACUCCGUACUGUAAGAGGUGUAGAGAGUGGCUACUGCCGUGUCCUUCCUACAGAGAAGGUGAACGUGUUACAGUACAGUACCUGUCCCAGCUGGCCGUCAACACCACUAAUAUAUGGGGACCCUGUGGGGACUCAGAGGUGUCCAACUCUUCACAUUGGCCUGUACGCCACACUGAGAAUGCCCACACACCAGGCAUUUGGACCAAGGUUUGCCAAUGAGUUCAGUGUGCUGAUGGAGCUGCAUAGUGUUCAGCAGGAGGAGAGUAGCCUGGUCACCGCACUCAGCCCUUACAGUCACAUCCAGCUGUAUUCUGUCUCGGCCCACAUGCUCUCCCCUUCGUCUCCACUCACCACAGACACUAUGAGUUCGCCGUAUUGUAGGUAUGCUGCCUGGUGGCCAGUGGCACCAUGUCUCUGUAAGUGUGUCCUCCAGCUGGCUGGCUCUUUAUGUGAACUAUGAGCUGGUGGAGAGGGUAAACUGGACUUUCCCUGGACAGGACAUUACCACUGAUGGUCUGCUGAUGCUGGGAGGCAUCAUUGAGGGCUUUGAGACACCAUUCAAAUUGAGGGCUUAUCGGAUGCUCAAAUGUUACUCUCACUUUUAUCUACAGUGUUUCCUAGUACAGUCACAGUAUAUCAAAUCAUCCAAACGUUUUAUCUGUUCCUCAUUAGGAUUUGAGAGAAGUUGUCUGCCACUCGAUGGCAGUAGAGAGCAGUUAAUAUCCCAUUUGACCAAUUUCUAGGCUGUUGUCAGCUUGAUUUAGGUAUUGAGAAGGAUUUCACCUCGUUUGUUUGCUGUUUUUCUGCAG
ensembl:lncRNA